UUGGCUCGUUUAAGUUUUAGUUUUUAAUUUUCUCAUUUAAGUCGUCUUCAGUUGCUAUUCUCAAUUAGAUAACUACAUUCCUUAGUUAUCAGUAAACGUCCCUACCGUGUUUACGAAAAAAUAUCGCCAUUUCCUGCCCCAAGGGAAGAAUGGAAAGAAGAGACGAAGGAAGAAACUAAGAGGGGACAAAGGGGUGGCGCGGGGUUCUCUUUCCUCGGGGCAGGAUAUUGUCCUUGAAAACCAAAUGCCUUUUACUUAAAAAUUCAUAAUAAAUCAACUACAAUGACUAUCGAGGAGAAAUAAAUCUUAAAAGAUUACCUGAUAACUAAGGAAUGUAGUUAUCUAAUUGAGAAUAGCAACUGAAGACGACUUAAAUGAGAAAAUUAAAAACUAAAACUAAAACGGGCCAAACUCCGUAAGCCGCCAUGUAAGAAAUUUUACUAUUUCGUGUCCAAUCGAUUUUUCACAAAUGGCAACUUCGGACGUUAGCCAACU